rnacentral:lncRNA from 1 species
UUUUUUUUAAAUAUUGGCAAAAUAUGCCAUGUAAAGACAUUUUUUUGGUAGUAUGAAAAUUCCAUUUAAGUUUUUUCGUUACAAGAGUUAUGUCCCCUUGAACUUAGAAAUUUUGACAGAAAUGACCUUGUUUUUGCAUCUUCUCCUUCAUUUGCAAGAUGCAGGAGUAUAAGUUCAGAUUAGUAGACAGUUCUAGUUGUUUUUUUGGGAGAAGGGGUUCAUGGGGGACAAGAGUGAUGAUGAUUCUCAGGAUAACAAUACGUGACCAUUCCCUCAAAUGUUUGCUAUACGUUUUCAAGAUAAAAUCUUUAAAAUUUAGCAUUUUAAAGUCUGUUUUGUUUUCUUGCAAUGUAAAUAUGUAUUUUUGUUUUUGUUUUUUAGCUCACCUGGCCCAAAGGGCCAAGUGAGCUUUUCCCAUGACUUUGCGUCCGGCGUCCGGCGUCGUCGUUCACUUUUACAAAAAUCUUCUCCUCUAAAACUACUGGGCCAAAUUAAACCAAACUUGGCCACAAUCAUCAUUGGGGUAUCUAGUUUAAAAAAUUUGUCAGGUGACCCGGCCAACCAACCAAGAUGGCCACCAUGGCUAAAAAUAGAACAUAGGGGUAAAAUGCAGUUUUUGGCCUAUAACUCAAAAACCAAAGCAUUUAGAGCAAAUCUGACAAAGGGUAAAAUUGUUCAUCAGUUCAACAUCUAUUUGCCCUUAAAUUUUCAGAUA